rnacentral:lncRNA from 1 species
CUCCUUUAGACACCUGGAGCCCCUUGUGCCCAUCAGUGACUUUGGAAGAGGUUUGGUUCACAGUGGCACCAAAUCCUGCCAGGAGAAGCCCAGCCCCUGCUGCUGGGGUGUCAGGAGCAGGAAGGGAAAAGCCAUCCCUUCCUUUUGGAGCAGUGGAAAUCCACACAGGUGAGCCAUGGUCCCUGGCCCAGGGCAGAAGCAGCUCUGGAGGAGCCCUGCUCAGGGGGCACAGAGAUGUGCAGGAGCCUCCCCACAUCCCUCAGCAGAGCCGUGGAACAGCCCCCAUGUCCUGAUCCUCACCAAAUGCUGAUAAAACAUCAACAGGAAGGAUCCUCCUUGGCAUAAAGCACGGUGACAUCAAAGGCUCUGAACUAAUUUGCUUUUUUGUCAACUAGAUAAAGAUAUUAAGUUAAUGCCUUUUGUUCCUAGACAGAGUGUUUUAGUCAGUGAACAGAGUUAAUUGUGUUGACAUAAUGGAUUUAUUGUUUCAACAGAACGCCUGUCUGUUUUCACACAGUGGAUAAGGGACUUGACAAAACUAAUGCUGAUACCAGGGGAUUCUUAUAAAGCUGAAUUAUCAGCCUGAUAAAACGCCUCUGGUGUAAGAGACAGCAGGAAGGAAAACACACAGUCUGUGAGGCAAAGGCAGGGAAGCAGCACCCAAAGGAUGCUUUCCCUUUCAGUGGAGCUUUGUGUUCCUGCUUGCAAAGGAAUAGCCCAAGUGUGAUAAAAGCCGGAUUUGGAGCACCCAGUCAGUUCCCUGAUGCCACCACAGCCACAGGGACACGGAGGGAGCUUCUGAAGGGAGCAGGGAUCCCAGCCACUCCCAUCGGAUCAGCGGCUGCACCAGCUCCAGGCACAGAUUUCCCUUCAUUUCCCAGCACUGGGGGCCUCUGCAGUGCCCAGGAUAAAGCUGGGGACAGAGCCAAAGGUCCUGACCCUGCUCCUCUGUGCCUUCACCUGUGUUUCCCUCUCCACACUCCGUGUUAUCCUUACUCCACCAUAUUUAUUUAUCUUUGGACAGUCAGGAGAGAGGAGCUGCCCUGAGCGAGUGAGGCCUUGGCAGGAGGAAGAAGAGGCUUUGUGCUCUGCUUUCUGUUUUGUGCAUUCUGGGUGAGAAAGAGGAUUUAUUAUUAUAAAAUAAUAACCCCUUGGAGAUGAUGGUUUCCAGCCCAUGGAGUGGAAUGCUCUGUCCCUGUAACAGGAUGCAGGGAUGCUGCAGGAGGAAGGCUCAGGGAGCGAAUCACCAGGGAUGGGGUUUGUCACACCAGGGUCUUGACCCAGGGAGGAACCAAAG